rnacentral:rRNA from 1 species
UACGUAGGGACCGAGCGUUGUCCGGAAUCAUUGGGCGUAAAGAGCGUGUAGGCGGCCAAUUAAGUCCUGCGUGAAAUCUCGGGGCUCAACCCCGAGCGGUCGUGGGAAACUGGUUGGCUAGAGUGCGGGAGAGGAGAGUGGAAUUCCUGGUGUAGCGGUGAAAUGCGCAGAUAUCAGGAAGAACACCCGUGGCGUAGGCGGCUCUCUGGAACGCAACUGACGCUGAGACGCGAAAGCGUGGGGAGCAAACCGG